GUGUAUAUAAGUGGGUGCAAACCUCACCCUACAAGCCAGUUUUGUGGGGUUGAGUUAGGCUUAAAGUCCACUUCUAACAAUGAUGAUACAUAGAUACAUUCGGCAAUUAUUCUAACAAACAUCACUCACCACAACCCGUUAUAUUAACAUAGCUAAAAACCUUGCACACGGCCAACUCCUACUACCAUUCACCACGCAUAAAUAGUCCAAACAAAAGCUACCAACAAAUUUUACAAUCUUCAAAUAGCAAAGAAACGAGUGCAGCAGAAUAUCAAUUUAAAACAGUCAUAGCAGUAUGCCCAAGAAGGUUUAACAACCCAUAAUUACAUUCUGGCAAGGUCUAUAUCAUAAUCUACCGUAACAUUUAUCAAACAAUUCAAGUAGUUACGUUUCCAGCCACUAUCCAGACAACCAGAAUCCCUGUUUCCCAUACAUACAUCUGCCUAUUAAUGCUGACAGACUCACAACUAAGUAGCCAAAUCACCUAGCAAUACAGUCAUUCAUAAACACCACUACUCACGUGAAUAACCUGCAUAUAAUGGAAACAGGUUUACACUCCAAAGGAUCAUCAUAUAACUACACCUGGCAACGAAUACAAGGCUAUAAUCUACUAUAGUUUAACCAAUGCAUACACCACAUAGUCAGGCCAAUGCCCUCAACCAAAACAUGAUUCAGACAUCACAUAUAUUCAGACAGAGUUACUUUUAAUUCAAAGCCGGAAUAUACCACAUUUAACAAAACCAGAGCAACAUUAGAGUACCCACUUGUACUACCCAAGCCUCAUUGCAACAAAACAUAACACACAAAUUACAUUUACAGUAGUUUCAAUAACCAUGCAGUAAGCAAUGCAAUCACCACCAGGCUCAAAGCACCUACCAGGAAUAUAACAUUUUAUGGCUCGAAUUAAAAGAACAUCAAACAAAAUUAUAUAUUACAGUACAUCAACACAAGUAUUCGAAUAUUACAAUUUAUAUUCGAGAAUCAUAAGCCAAGUGAAAGCACAGAAUUUUCAGAUAGCAAAUCAUUAAUCAAACAAACACAAUGCUAACUCCCCAUACCUUGUCCGAAAUCUUCUCGCAAUUGAAACCCUUGACCCCGACCUCUUUCGAACGCCUAUUGCUCAACCUCUGUGCUCACUCGUUCACCUGAUUCCGCUUCGCUUCUCCUCCGCUUCACUAGAUACACUUAGCAAAACUCUCUUCCGUAUGCUCAAACCCUAAGAAAGCCCCGAAAGAAUCUCCCUUCUUCUAGCGCCAUCGAAACGGGGUGCUCCUAUCAUAACUCUCAGUCACUCACAUCUAGGGCUUACGUGUUUUUGUGCAAGAAAAAAAAAAAUGGUGGAAGAAUGAAGAAGAGGCGAGACAGAAGAUAGUGGUGUUCUUCAUAGAAAUUUAAGAUAUUUGAUUAAUUUAAAUAUCACAGAAAUUUUAAGUUCUUCAUAAAUUAUUGUUAAUUUCAAUUUUUUUUUAUAUUUUGUAACUAUUAUUUUUAAGUCUUACGGUAAAUCAUAAUUAGCUAAAUGCUAAAAUAGAAAAUGUUUCGGAUAAAUGGGGUCUUCCUCUACAAUGAUACUCCGACCGUCCACUGCCUUUGGUUCUUCACUGUCCUUCUCAGCCGUCCGGGUACCUGC
rnacentral:lncRNA from 1 species